rnacentral:rRNA from 1 species
GCGAGUCAUUGUAGCAAUACAAGGCAGACGGCUCAGUAACGCGUAGUCAAUCUACCCUAUGGACGGGAAUAACCUCGGGAAACUGAGAAUAAUGCCCGACAGAACAUUAUACCUGGAACGGUUUAUGUUUCAAAUGAUUUAUCGCCGUAGGAUGGGACUGCGGCCUAUCAGUUUGUUGGUGAGGUAAUGGCCCACCAAGACUAUUACGGGUACGGGCUCUGAGAGGAGUAGCCCGGAGAUGGGUACUGAGACACGGACCCAGGCCCUAUGGGGCGCAGCAGGCGAGAAAACUUUGCAAUGUGCGAAAGCACGACAAGGUUAAUCCGAGUGGUUUCUGCUAAAGAAACCUUUUGCUAGUCCUAGAAACACUAGUGAAUAAGGGGUGGGCAAGUUCUGGUGUCAGCCGCCGCGGUAAAACUAGCACCUCAAGUGGUCAGGAUGAUUAUUGGGCCUAAAGCAUCCGUAGCUCGUUUUGUAAGUUUUCGGUUAAAUCCAUACGCUUAACGUAUGGGCUGCCGGGAAUACUGCAUAACUAGGAAGUGGGAGAGGUAGACGGUACUCGGUAGGAAGGGGUAAAAUCCUUUGAUCUAUUGAUGACCACCCGUGGCGAAGGCGGUCUACCAGAACACGUUCGACGGUGAGGGAUGAAAGCUGGGGGAGCAAACCGGAUUAGAUACCCGGGUAGUCCCAGCUGUAAACUAUGCAAACUCAGUGAUGCAUUGGCUUGUGGCCAAUGCAGUGCUGCAGGGAAGCCGUUAAGUUUGCCGCCUGGGAAGUACGUACGCAAGUAUGAAACUUAAAGGAAUUGGCGGGGGAGCACCACAAGGGGUGAAGCCUGCGGU